GAAAACAAGAGAUCCAAUUGGGGAUGGAGAUCGAGAGAAAGGCAGGCUAUGCUUGGGCGGUUGCUGCUGGAGUAAAUGCCGCUGCAACUGCCGUGGCUGCUAAAUUCUUCGCGUCUCAGCUGAAAUAUGCCCUGGUUAUAUUCUUCAAUGUCUUAAUGUGGGGAUGCUCAGUUAAUAGCAUGAAGUCCCUCUCAUCUUUACAAGCUACAGUGACAAACUUUGCAACAAAUUUUCUCUCCUCUGGACUGGCCGGAUUCUUCCUCUUCAAGGAGGCACUUCCUGUUAAGUGGUUUGUAGGUGCAUCUCUAAUUGUCGCCGGUGUUAUUGUCCUAAGCAAGUCGAGCAUUGAGAAGAAAACACACACAACAUAGACUGCACCAUUGCAUCAUACUGCAUAUCACACACCACACUCAUCAAGGAUUGCUCUUCUAUCCUGAAUUUCGUAAAAGGUUUUCUGCUGCGAAACUUUUGUUGGGUCCCAUGUUUCAUGUCCAUAUUAUCAUAUCAUCAAAGUGCCCUGAUGUUGGUGAACAUGAAGAUGUCUUACGACUGACUAUGAAUGCAGCAUCUUUGAUGUUUGCAUUAAACUCCAUGAAUUGAAGUCGCCAGGCUUACAACUUUUCUGGUUCAUGCUAUCACUGAUCUGAUUAGUUUCAAUUUGAUGAAGAAGCACAUGUCAGGUUAUGUUCUUGUCUGAAGUUUGAUACAGAAAUUACAUUUUAUCUCAGUAUUUAGUAUCAGUGAGUUAAGUGACUUAUUUCUAGCUUCACCUAACUCUACCCACUACUUAUUGGACCAUUUCUUUUGAUAUUUUGAGCAAUUAAUUAUUUACAUGUGGCCAAUUGUUCUUACAUUGGGGAGGUGGCAGUGUAAGAGAACAUGUGGGGGUAGUGUACCAGAAAUUCCUGUCCCCUCUUGAUUUGGAUCAUUACUCCAUUUUCCCAUCUGCCAUUCUUUUUUCUUUUCUUUUUUUUUUUUUUUUUUUUUCAAUUCAAUUUUUGUAUGAUAACAAUUCAGUUAGUAAACAAGCCAGCUAUUUUUAUUUUA